AAGGUAGCGAAAUUCCUUGUCGGGUAAGUUCCGACCUGCACGAAUGGCGUAACGAUGGCCACACUGUCUCCUCCUGAGACUCAGCGAAGUUGAAAUGUUUGUGAAGAUGCAAUCUCCCCGCGGCUAGACGGAAAGACCCCAUGAACCUUUACUGUAGCUUUGCAUUGGACUUUGACGGGACUUGUGUAGGAUAGGUGGGAGGCUUUGAAACCGGGACGCCAGUUCCGGUGGAGCCAACCUUGAAAUACCACCCUGGUGUCGUCGAGGUUCUAACCCAGGCCUGUGAAUCCAGGUCGGGGACCGUGCAUGGUGGGCAGUUUGACUGGGGCGGUCUCCUCCCAAAAGGUAACGGAGGAGUACGAAGGUCACCUAGGUACGGUCGGACAUCGUACUGAUAGUGCAAUGGCAAAAGGUGGCUUGACUGCGAGACCCACAAGUCGAGCAGGUGCGAAAGCAGGUCAUAGUGAUCCGGUGGUUCUGUAUGGAAGGGCCAUCGCUCAACGGAUAAAAGGUACUCUGGGGAUAACAGGCUGAUCG
rnacentral:rRNA from 1 species